rnacentral:misc_RNA from 1 species
AAAACAGAGAAUUCUGGAUUCGCAAAUCAAUUGAAGAAUGUGUAUACUUACAGGCACUUAUUCGUAUACACGCCGGCAUUCAUACAUUCAUACAUACAUACACGCCAUGCAUUCAUACAUGCUUGCAUUCAUGCAUCCAUGCAUUCAUACAUACAUGCAUACAUGGAUUAGUUGCGUACUUGCUUCCCUUGCACCCUCAUAAUUGCUUCUUUGAUUCUCUGUCUGAUACUCUGUUUACUUACUUAAAUACUUUGCUUGUUUGCUACUUUUUU